rnacentral:rRNA from 1 species
AUUGAAGGUGAUGCCUGCCCGGUGACAGAUGUUUAACGGCCGCGGUAUCCUAACCGUGCAAAGGUAGCGCAAUCAAUUGUCCCGUAAAUCGGGACUAGUAUGAAUGGCUAAACGAGGUCUUAACUGUCUCUUACAGGCAAUCAGUGAAAUUGAUCUCCCUGUGCAAAAGCAGGGAUAACCACAUAAGACGAGAAGACCCUGUGGAACUUCAAAAACAGCAACCACCCUAAAAUACAUACACACCCACCCCGGGCUCACUUAACUUACAGGUGACUGGUCUGCAUUUUUUCGGUUGGGGCGACCUUGGAGCAAAACAAAACCUCCAAAUAUUAGACCAUUCCUCUAGACUGAGAGCAACUCCUCAACGUGCUAAUAGCAACCAGAUCCAAUACAAUUGAUCAAUGGACCAAGCUACCCCAGGGAUAACAGCGCAAUCUCCUUCGAGAGUCCAUAUCGACGGGGAGGUUUACGACCUCGAUGUUGGAUCAGGACAUCCUAAUGGU